rnacentral:rRNA from 1 species
AACAUUGGACAAUGGGGGGAACCCUGAUCCAGCCAUGCCGCGUGUGUGAAGAAGGUCUUCGGAUUGUAAAGUACUUUUGGCAGAGAAGAAAAGGUAUCUCCUAAUACGAGAUACUGCUGACGGUACCUCCAGAAUAAGCACCGGCUAACUUCGUGCCAGCAACUGCGGUAAUACGAAGGGUGCAAGCGUUAACCGGAAUUACUGGGCGUAAAGCGCGCGUAGGUGGUUCGUUAAGUUGGAAGUGAAAGCCCCGGGCUUAACCUGGGAAUUGCUUUCAAAACUGACGAGCUAGAGUACGGUAGAGGGUAGUGGAAUUUCCUGUGUAGCGGUGAAAUGCGUAGAUAUAGGAAGGAACAUCAGUGGCGAAGGCGACUACCUGGACUGAUACUGACACUGAGGUGCGAAAGCGUGGGGAGCAAACAGG